AUUGAACGCUGGCGGCAUGCCUUACACAUGCAAGUCGAACGGCAGCACGGGUGCUUGCACCUGGUGGCGAGUGGCGAACGGGUGAGUAAUACAUCGGAACGUACCUUAUCGUGGGGGAUAACGCAGCGAAAGUUGCGCUAAUACCGCAUACGCCCUGAGGGGGAAAGCGGGGGACCGUAAGGCCUCGCGCGAUUAGAGCGGCCGAUGUCUGAUUAGCUUGUUGGUGAGGUAAAAGCUCACCAAGGCGAUGAUCAGUAGCUGGUCUGAGAGGACGAUCAGCCACACUGGGACUGAGACACGGCCCAGACUCCUACGGGAGGCAGCAGUGGGGAAUUUUGGACAAUGGGGGCAACCCUGAUCCAGAAAUGCCGCGUGAGUGAAGAAGGCCUUCGGGUUGUAAAGCUCUUUUGUCAGGGAAGAAACAGCAGCUCUAACACAGUCUGCGAAUGACGGUACCUGAAGAAUAAGCACCGGCUAACUACGUG
rnacentral:rRNA from 1 species